GGAAAUAGGCUGGCCAUGUAAACUGGCUGCAAUUUCAGUACUCGCAGGUUUUACACCCAGUACAUCGAAGACAAAGCCAUAUCGAGACUCGAUACCAAAUGAGCUAAAAGAGCCAUUGUUAUGCAUCACAACUAAAGCUUUUUCUGAGCGUUCGGCCGUCAAGGCUUGAACCUCAUCGACCUUGGCAUCGAUUUCAGCCACUUUCUUUUGAGCGAGUGUUUGUUUAUUAAAGAUUUCACCGAGAUCAAUAACGUGCUGUUUGAUUAUGUCGACGUGAUGCCCAUGACUGUUACGGAAAUCAAUAUCAAAGUGUACCGUUGGUGCGAGCUUAGACAGUUCUUCAUACUGAUUGGCGUGCAGUGGGGUCAUCAAAACUAGAUCGGGUUUAAGAGCAUAGAUUUUUUCCAUGUUGGGUUGAACGAUUGCUCCAAGGUCCGAAAUGUCAGGAGUGUUUUUAUACUUUUCCAAAAAGUGGGGUACAAAAUCUUUCACCAUACCUGCAAUAGGUACGUUUAACUGAUCUAAGAAAUCCACUUCAUUCAUAUCGAGAGCUGCCACUCGCUGAGGUCGAUUUGAAAUCACGGUUUGACCUAGAUUAUGUUCAAUCACGAUGGGGGUUUCUAAUGGUUGAAUAACUUGAGAUUGAGCCACUUUUGGUUCGCAACCCGUUAAGGUUACA
rnacentral:misc_RNA from 1 species